rnacentral:tRNA from 1 species
ACGCCUGUAGCUCAGAUGGUCAGAGCGCCGCUCUCAUAAGGCGGAUGUCCCUGGUUCGAGUCCAGGCAGGCGUACCA